AUGGCGUCUUUGUCUAGAUUUGUUAUCAAAGAUUGCAAUUUGGAUACAUAUAAGGCUGUACAUAGAAGACCAUGGUCUUUGAUUCCUGCCAGAAGGCUACAGGCAGCUCAUCUGGAUGUUAGGGCUGGAAUUUCUGUGCCUGAGAAUGGAAAAGGUUGGGCCAUCGAAAGAAAGCCAAGUAGUCCCCCUGUUUCUCUUGCUGCCCCUUCCUCGAUCAUUCCAGCUUCAAGGAAUUUGCAAGUUAUGUGCAAGGCUGCAACGAAUGUAUCUGGAGAUAUUCCUACACCAAAUGGGAUGAACCAAUAUGAGAGAAUAAUUGAAAUUUUGACUACUCUUUUCCCUGUGUGGGUUAUUUUGGGAACUAUUAUUGGCAUCUGCAAGCCAGCUGCGGUAACAUGGUUAGAGACAGAUCUUUUCACUGUUGGCCUAGGUUUCCUCAUGCUUUCAAUGGGAUUGACGUUGACCUUUGAGGAUUUCAGACGCUGUCUACGGAACCCAUGGACUGUAGGUGUAGGAUUUCUCGCUCAAUAUUUAAUCAAGCCUAUGCUAGGAUUUGCUAUUGCAAUGUCUCUGAAACUUUCUGCUCCACUUGCGACUGGUCUUAUUUUGGUCUCAUGCUGCCCUGGUGGUCAGGCAUCAAAUGUUGCAACCUAUAUAUCUAAGGGGAAUGUAGCACUUUCUGUUCUCAUGACAACGUGUUCAACUAUUGGAGCAAUAGUUAUGACACCACUCCUCACAAAGCUUCUCGCAGGUCAGCUUGUUCCUGUAGAUGCUGCGGGUCUUGCUAUCAGCACUUUUCAGGUUGUGUUAGUACCAACAGUUGUAGGAGUCUUGGCCAAUGAGUUCUUUCCCAAAUUCACUUCAAAAAUAAUCUCAGUGACUCCUUUAAUUGGAGUUAUUCUCACCACCCUACUUUGUGCAAGCCCUAUUGGCCAAGUGUCAGAAGUCUUGAAAGCGCAAGGAGCUCAACUAAUAUUGCCUGUAGCUCUCCUGCAUGCUGCUGCAUUUGCCCUUGGUUACUGGGUUUCAAAAAUAUCAUUUGGUGAAUCCACUUCUCGUACCAUAUCCAUAGAAUGCGGAAUGCAGGUAGGCUUUCUUCAUUACUAUUACGACAUCAGAUUUCUUAAACUUUUAGGCAACUAAAACAAGUCUGACUGAUGUUGGACAUUUUCAAGAAUUAUUAUUUUGUUAUAUAUGUGAUGCCUGUUGGGAAUGGUAAAUGCUCUGUAUCUUCGUUAUAGAGAAACUUUUAUAAUCUGUUUCACAACUUUAGAUGCGCUGUCUGUCACUAGUUUUACUGUCCUUGUAAAUAAGCAAGACAUAAAUUGCAUGACCAAAUCACAAAGCAGCUUUCAGAAUGGAACGUUCUUCUGUUUAAAAUCUGUAAUGCAUCAUAGUCUUUCUCAGAUGAGUCUGGUGUUGGUUUGUCUGGAUCAUUUCUAAAGCAUCUGCUAUCUUGUCAUUUGCACCUGAUAUACUUGGUCUUUUCUUUCCUGUAUUCACAGUCAUCUAAAUGAGAAGAAAAAGUUUUACUGCCCUGAAAGUAACAGUGCAAUUACCAGAUUCUUAAGUCUGCAGCAGUUUUCUGUCUAUUUUGCUUUCACUAUUUCUGGAGCUUUUGUAAUUAGAUGUUCUUGUUGCACGUCACCUGGUGGCUCGAGCUCUGCACUUGGUUUCUUGCUGGCCCAGAAACAUUUUACCAAUCCACUGGUAGCCGUUCCUUCUGCAGUUAGUGUUGUUUGUAUGGCGCUUGGUGGGAGUGGUCUUGCUGUUUAUUGGAGGAACAGACCAAUUCCUGUGG